rnacentral:miRNA from 1 species
GUUUUGACAGCCGGAAGGAAUUCCUUCCAGUCACCAAGAUUGUAUGAACCCCUUCAGGUCAUUGGGACCAUACAAUCUUGAUGGCCGGAAGGGAUUCCUUCCGGUCAUUGAGAC